rnacentral:rRNA from 1 species
CAGGUUUAUCACUCUAGUUUCACUGACGAUGACAGGAUCACAAAAGCCUGUGGGUGUCCUCUUCCACUAAAAACACAUAUCAAGGGCCUAGCCCCAGCCUCAGAUUCAGAUAAAGCAGAUAUAGUCGAUGAGGCGAUAACUUUCUUCCGAGCAAAUGUUUUCUUCAAAAACUAA